AGGAGCUAGAAUAAAUUACACUUAGUUAUUAAUUGAAAGUGUGAAUCAGAAAGAUGAAGAACGGCUACAUGGACAAGAGAGAAGCCAGGGCCACCAAGGUCAACAUACUGCCACAAAUGCUUCCAAGCCUUCAAAGAAGCACCAGAGGGACAAUGCUCACUGAAGGUGCCAGUGCCUCCAUGGUGCUACUGCAGCCUGGUGACCCUUUCUAUGCCUUCUCUGUGUGUCCACUGAGUCCUCACAUGUCCCACAUGUGACCUGAUGCCGUGUUUCUACACCCCCUCACACAUGUAUCACUGUGAAGGCUGGUGAACAAAUCUAAGAAAAAGGCAGAAGUCAAGAAAAAGGCACAGCCAAGAACAGAGCAGAGGUCAUGCCAGAAAACAAUUGGGUUAUGACUCUGCUUUUGACAGUCCAACUUUGGAUGCUCCCUGCCAUUGUCACCACUGGAUUUUCAAAUGUGCUGCAGCCUCUGAGAAUAUGUUUUUCUGUUGCCACAUCUUUAAGAAUGUCCACAUGAGACAAAAUUCCUGGCAGAAACAUCAUACUGGCCAAUUCCGGGCCCUCAGGCUUCUUGCCAAGGAGUUGGCAUGGGGAUUAUCUGCCCACUUUAGGCUUCCUGGGAGCUGAGGUCUCGCCUCCCAUCAAGACCUAAGUGACGGGGUAUCCUGCCAUCUAGAAAAAUAGCCCUCAAACCUGACAAACAUCUACCCUACCCCCCAAAGUUUUAGUUUACUCACCAGUAGAAAUAUCCUUUUUUAAUUUUUACCCUUUGCUAUGAUAUUUUAACCUAAUAUACUUUUUAUCCUUUUCCAUUGCUAUGAGGAUUAAAUUAAAUAAUACAUGUGAAAUGCAAUAAAUCUUAGCUGUUAUUAUUUUGUUUCCA
rnacentral:lncRNA from 12 species